UUAGGUGUUUGAUCCAUGACGUUUCGUCGAAAAAUCACAAGCGCGCAUGCCGUAGGUGUUUGCCUGGUUGCAAGAUCUUGCCGAUUUCAACGUUUUUCCACCUCUUCGGUAAGUACUUGACAUGCCUGGAUUACUGCAAUCAGCACGUUCUUAGCACUUUCUUCUUUGGCUCCCCACCGCGCGCAGGUUGGCGUACGCUGAACUGGACCCUCGCAGCAAGAAUGGCACGUGGGAAUUGACACCGCGAUCGUGGAACACAUGGCUGAUCUGCCUCGAAUAGCUGCAAGCCGGCGCGUGCGUAGUGCCGUGGAGAACGAUCAGAAGUCCUGGACGACAAAGAAAAAAACUUCAAAGCUGCUUCUAGUAGUGGUGCCCCUGGUGUGCACCUUUACCCCAAAUGUCUGCACCUUUGCCUACCGCUGCCUCUGCGAGCCCU